ACCUGCAGCAUCACGCUGAAGCUCUCACCUGCACACCCACUGAAGCUGAGCAGGGCUGAGCCUAGUCAGGAUCUGGAUGGGAGACGCCUGGGAAGACCCGGUUGCUGCUGGAG
ensembl:rRNA 5S_rRNA 5S ribosomal RNA